AUAACUUAUGAUGGGAGAGCAAAUCCGCCGAAUUUAAGCAUAUAAUUAAGCGGAAGAAAAGAAAAUAACAAUGAUUCCCUAAGUAACGGCGAGUGAACAGGGAAAAGCUCAAAAAGGAAAAUCCUAUUCAUGGCGCAAGUCAUGUUAUGGAAUUGUCUGGUUGGAGUUUCGUCCUUUUCUAUAUUUAUGUUGGAUUGCGAAAUGAGUAGGAAUACUAUUCCUUAGAGGGUGAAAGACCCGUAGCCCCCCACAAUUGUAGAAAAUGAUGAUUCUCUGUAGAGUCGUGUUCUUUGAGAUUGGAGCACAAAUAUGUGUGAUACAUUUCACAUAAAGCUAAAUAUUUGUAGGAAACCGAUAGUAUACAAGUACCGUGAGGGAAAGAUGAAAUAGUACUCAGGAAUGAGGUUUAAAUAGUACCUGAAAUCGUUAAGAUGGAACGGAUUAAGAGAGAAAUAACGUAAGAUGGGAUUAAUUAUUAGCUCUUUAGGGAGCGUUUUUUAAUUCCUAUUUUAUUAAAAGAAGCAUCAGUGAAUGUUGAAUAAUUAAAAUAUAGUUAAGUAUUCUUUACAAAUAUAAAUAUGUGCGUAAAAAUGCCGUAUCACUUCCGCUAAAUUGGUUGGAUAACGAGCUAUUUUUGAUUAUUCUGUUUACUGAGGUUUAUUAAAAUCAUUGUGGCCUUUGUCCCUAUUGAUUUAAGUUGCUUCUAAAAAGCACUUUCUUAACCCACUCGUCUUGAAACACGGACCAAGGAGUCUAACAAAUGUGCGAGCGUAUAUAUGUUUUUAACUAUAAUAAAAGAAUGAAAAUUCUUUAAUAUUUACGCGUAAUUAAUGUAAUAUAUUAAACUUACAUUGUAGAAUGUACUGAAAUUGAAUAAUAUUUAUUUUUCAUUUGAAGUAUAUGCAUACAAUACCGGUUAGCAAAUAUGCUAAAUUGAGUAAGAGUAUAUUUGUUAGGACCCGAGAGGCUUUGAACUAAGCGUGGUGAGAUUGAAGUCAGACGAAAGUCUGAUGGAGGAUCGAAUUGAUACUGACGUGCAAAUCGUUCAUUUCAAUCACGUUUAGGGGCGAAAGACUAAUCGAAAAGCCUAUUAGCUGGUUAUUUUCGAAAGAUCUCUCAGGAUCGCUGGAGUUGAUUAAUAUAGUUUUACGAGGUAGAGAUAAUGAUUAGAGGAUUCAGGGAAAUCGUUUUCCUUGGCCUAUUCUCAAACUCCCAAUACGUAAUAAGGGAUUAAUAUCUUUAUUGUAUUUUUCCCACUAUAAAUAAGAUAACUCCAAGUGGGCCAUUUUUGGUAA
rnacentral:rRNA from 1 species